CUUGGCGAGGGGCAGCGUUGUCUGUGUGUGUGUGGCUGCAUUCCCUGUGCUGGAGGCAGGGAGGAUGGGGCUUGCUAUUUGCUGCACUCCAGCUCACCACAUGAUGUAUGAAAACACCACCCAAGUGUGUAUCUCAUGUGGCCCCCUCACCACAAACGCAAACCCCAGAACCAUUCCCAUUCCUCUCCAGGCAGCAGCACGUUGACAGCCCACAGAUGGAAAACACCGACUCCGGAGAAGUCCAGUACUCCACCAUCGCCCACGUUCGACGGGACAGGCCUCCUCCCGUGCAGCAGAUGAGCGACACCACGACGUAUGCCACGGUGACCCGCACCCAGACCCGAUAGCGCUGCCACAGGGCAAGGGCACAGGAGCCUUGCCCACGGCUGCCUUUGCUCUCUUGCAGAGGGCUCGUGCAGCCGUGAGGUGGGGCUGGGGGGUGCACUUUGGG
rnacentral:lncRNA from 1 species